rnacentral:rRNA from 1 species
GGUUGAUCCUGCCAGUAGUCAUAUGCUUGUUUUAAAGAUUAAGCCAUGCAUGUCUAAGUAUAGAGUAUUCUAACUUGAAACUGCGAACGGCUCAUUAAAUCAGUUAUAAUCUACUUGAUUGUAUUAAAUGAUACGGAUAACUGUAGAAAAGCUAGAGCUAAUACGUGAAAAAGGGGGGAAUUGGUAGUAAUACUGAGACUCCUAUAUUUAUUAGGUCCAAAAUCAAUAUAAAAGUUGAUGAUUCAUAAUAACUAGAUGAAGCGAGAAGUGAUUCUUGCUGAUACAAACGAGUU